rnacentral:rRNA from 1 species
AGAUAGAAACCGACCUGGCUCACACCGGUUUAAACUCAGAUCAUGUAAAAUUUUAAAGGUCGAACAGACCUAAACUAUUAGCUCCUACACCAAUAAUUAAAUUUUAAUCCAACAUCGAGGUCGCAAUCUAUUCUUUCGAUAAGAACUCUAAGAAAAAUAACGCUGUUAUCCCUAAGGUAAUUUAAUCUUAUAAUCUAAACACUAGGAUCAUAAAUCUACAAAUAAAUAUUCUAAUAAAAGAAAAGUUUAAUCAAUUUUCCUAUCACCCCAACAAAAUAAGCCUAAACCAAAUUCAAUUAAUCAUCCUAAAAUUAAAUUUUAUCUAACCUAUAAAACUCUAUAGGGUCUUCUCGUCUUCUAUAAAUACUUAAGCUUUUUAACUUAAAAAUAAAAUUUUAAUAAAAUUUAACAGAGACAGUCAUUCUUUCAUCAAACCAUUCAUACAAGCUUUCAAUUAAAAAACUAGUGAUUAUGCUACCUUUGCACGGUCAGUAUACCGCGGCCAUUCAAUUAAUCAGUGGGCAGGUUAGACU